rnacentral:rRNA from 1 species
GGAGUCUGGACCGUGUCUCAGUUCCAGUGUGGGGGACCUUCCUCUCAGAACCCCUAUCCAUCGUAGCCUUGGUGGGCCGUUACCCCGCCUACUAUCUAAUCAGACGCAUCCCCAUCCCUUAGCGAUAAAUCUUUGGUUUGAUCUUGAUGUCAGCAUCAAACAACAUAGGGAAUUAAUCCGACUUUCGCCGGGCUGUGCCCUACUAAG